AUACUUACCUGGCAAGGGAGACACCGUGAUCAAGAAGGCGGUUCACCCAGGGCGAGGCUCAGCCAUUGCACUCCGGCUGUGCUGACCCCUGCGAAUUUCCCAAAUGUGGAAAUCUCGAUUGCAUAAUUUCUGGUAGUGGGGGACUGCGUUCGCGCUCUCCC
rnacentral:snRNA from 1 species